AUUGAACGCUGGCGGAAUGCUUUACACAUGCAAGUCGAGCGGCAGCGCGGGGCAACCUGGCGGCGAGCGGCGAACGGGUGAGUAACAUAUCGGAACGUACCCAGUCGUGGGGGAUAACUAUCCGAAAGGAUAGCUAAUACCGCAUACGACCUGAGGGUGAAAGCGGGGGACCGAAAGGCCUCGCGCGAUUGGAGCGGCCGAUAUCGGAUUAGCUAGUUGGUGAGGUAAAGGCUCACCAAGGCGACGAUCCGUAGCUGGUCUGAGAGGACGACCAGCCACACUGGAACUGAGACACGGUCCAGACUCCUACGGGGGGCAGCAGUGGGGAAUUUUGGACAAUGGGGGCAACCCUGAUCCAGCCAUUCCGCGUGAGUGAUGAAGGCCCUAGGGUUGUAAAGCUCUUUUACCCGGGAUGAUAAUGACAGUACCGGGAGAAUAAGCUCCGGCUAACUUCGUG
rnacentral:rRNA from 1 species